CUAACACAUGCAAGUCGAGCGAGAAGGUGGCUUCGGUCACUGGACAGCGGCGGACGGGUGAGUAACGCGUGGGAAUAUACCUUUUGGUGGGGGACAACAGUUGGAAACGACUGCUAAUACCGCAUACGCCCUUCGGGGGAAAGAUUUAUCGCCGAGAGAUUAGCCCGCGUUAGAUUAGGUAGUUGGUGAGGUAACGGCUCACCAAGCCGACGAUCUAUAGCUGGUCUGAGAGGAUGAUCAGCCACACUGGGACUGAGACACGGCCCAGACUCCUACGGGAGGCAGCAGUGGGGAAUAUUGCGCAAUGGAGGAAACUCUGACGCAGCCAUGCCGCGUGAGUGAAGAAGGCCUUAGGGUUGUAAAGCUCUUUCAACUGUGAGGAUGAUGACAGUAGCAGUAGAAGAAGCUCCGGCUAACUUCGUGCCAGCAGCCGCGGUAAUACGAAGGGAGCAAGCGUUGUUCGGAAUUACUGGGCGUAAAGGGCGUGUAGGCGGACUGUCCAGUCAGGGGUGAAAUCCCGGGGCUCAACCUCGGAACUGCCUUUGAUACUGACAGUCUAGAGUCUGCGAGAGGAUAGUGGAAUACCCAGUGUAGAGGUGAAAUUCGUAGAUAUUGGGUAGAACACCAGUGGCGAAGGCGACUAUCUGGAGCAGUACUGACGCUGAGGCGCGAAAGCGGGGAGCAA
rnacentral:rRNA from 1 species